CUUCCUCUGAUAGUACACCCGAUUCUAGGAAAGAUUGGAUUUAUGAUUCUAACAGUAAAUUGAAGUUAGAGGAUGAUGCAUUAGAAGGAGGUAAUACCUACAUCACCACAGUUGUAAUGUAUCGUGACAUGUCAGAUAUUCUACCAUCACAAACAACUGGAUAUACAACAGAAGACGCGAGUCGAAAAGAAAUAAACGGCCCUGUGUUGUCGUUGACAAUUACACCAGCUAUUGCUGAACUGGAUCCUCC